GGGGGAAGCUUGAAGCCACCUCGGGCAAGGAUGGGCUUGCCGGCGCUGGGCUGAAUGCCUGGCCACACCGUGUGGGGGCACUUAUUGAACAGCGUUAUGGUUGUGGCCGACACCUCAUCUGCCCCCAAGAAACACAGCGACGCAUGAACCGGGUAAUUACAUCAAAAGUGUUCUGAUGGCCCCAAGAGGAUUCGAACCUGGAUCUCGAUACAAACUUGGGUGCAUAUUAACCACUGAGCCGAAUCCAAGGGAUCAGAUUGACGCUAACUGAGAAGCGUUGCAGUGCGGGAAUACACACAUUUGUACAAAUAUAAGAAUUUUCAAGUUCGAUUAUCGUUAGUACAACUUUUCUCACUCCUUUACUAUAUUUUCUUAUCAAGCAAUAGGCUUUCCUUAUAGCCGAAAGAAACCUUAUUAUCGGUACGAGUCCAAUUGACCACCGCAACAACCCCUUCUCGUAUGCGUGUUUAUUCGCAUGUCAAAUGAUGAUGUUACUAAGAUAUCUACCGAUUUCGAUAAGCAGCAUGAGUUCACUAUCAACACAUAACUAUGCAUGUAACAGCAGAUCUAAGGACACAUGAAAAAUGUGCCAGAGGAAAAUCGGGGAUAAUGUGCUUUCGAGGAGAGCCAUGUAAACUCGACAUCAAUGCUAAAAAUAAAUAAA